GUGGGGGGUUGGAGGUUAGAGGUUGAGUGGCCUUUUAAUUAUGACCCGAAUGUAAGUCAUAUAGGACAUGGUGAUCUUUAUUCAGGGUCACUGGGACCAUAAGUAAAGGUCACACCCUUUGGCUUCUGGGGUCCCCUGGAGGAAUGUUUACACCCAGUGACAUCAACUCAAGUGCUGUAGGGGUCUUCCGGCAACUGUCCUCCAUUGGAGACACGACCAAAGAACAUUCUAGAGUUUGUGUCUUCAGGGGAGUCCCGGCACGGGGGUAGAAAUUAACCCCGUGGCCCCUCAGGAGCAGCACGCGACAGUGUGUUAGUGUAGGGAAGACGCGGAGGGGGAGUGACAGCAUCCGCAGCCUGGCAGCAUGGUUAGGAGUGCGGAGUGGAGAAGAGAGCUCUCGAAGGGGGAGGGGGGCGGCCAUGUGCUCGCCUGCCAACAGCUCUGCCCCCACCUCCGAAGAUCCCGCUCGUGACUUUUUUCAAGGAGCGGUCAUAGCUAGCAUUAAGUAUUUCAUUCUUACCAAAAUAAAGAUCUGCCUAUCGAUCUGA